ensembl:lncRNA
GGAGAUCAGCCCUGAAUAUUCAUUGGAAGGACUAUGUUGAAGCUGAAACUCCACUACUUUGGCCUCCUGAUGUAAAUAACUGAUUCACUUGAAAAGACCCUGAUGCUGGGAAAGAUUGAGGGCAGGAGGAGAAGGGGACGACAUCACCGGCUCCAUGGACAUGAGUUUGAGUAAACUCUGGUUGUUGGUGAUGGACAGGAGGGCCUGGAGGGCUGCAGUCCAUGGGGUCACAAAGAGUCAGACAUGACUGAGGGACUGAACUGAACUGAACUGAACUGCAGAGUAGAAGACAGGCUGGGGAACUCCUGAGUGCUGAGUUCCACUAACCUAGUGCUGUUUCAAGACACAGAAAGCUUUCUACAGAUGCUGAAAGAACGAUGGAAGGGAUGAAUGAAUGCAUGAGGGAAAUUGAAAACAUCCGUCUUGAGGAAGGGUCCAUAAGUUUCACGAGCUUUUCAUGGAGAUGUCACAGGCACCUUGAAGGCUGAGUUCUGAAAUAUGUUUAAUUUAUUCUAAAACAUCUGACCACAAGGUAAACAUGUGGCCAAGAAACAGGCCAUGUCCUGGAAGGUCCAUCUCCUGGAAGGUCCGUCUCCUGGAAGGUCCAUCUCCUGGAAGCUUCAUCUCCUGGAAGGUCCAUCUCCUGGAAGGUCCAUCUCCUGGAAGGUCCAUCUCCUGGAAGCUUCAUCUCCUGGAAGGUCCAUCUCCUGGAAGCUUCAUCUCCUGGAAGGUUCUCUCUGCCUCUCCCUAAAAGCAUGAUGAAAUACAUCACCGUGCUUGGAAAAGAAGCAAAAGGUUUUGUUGAGAACUGUUUAAGAUUAUUUCUUACCCAUGUGUGUACAGGCUGAAAAGGAAAUUUUCAGAAAUAAGGACCGUUAAAACGGA